UACGUAGGGGGCUAGCGUUGUCCGGAAUCAUUGGGCGUAAAGCGCGUGUAGGCGGUUCGGUAAGUCCGCUGUGAAAGUCGGGGGCUCAACCCUCGAAAGCCGGUGGAUACUGUCGGGCUAGAGUACGGAAGAGGCGAGUGGAAUUCCUGGUGUAGCGGUGAAAUGCGCAGAUAUCAGGAGGAACACCUAUUGCGAAGGCAGCUCGCUGGGACGUUACUGACGCUGAGACGCGAAAGCGUGGGGAGCAAACGGG
rnacentral:rRNA from 1 species